rnacentral:rRNA from 1 species
CUGGCUCAGAUUGAACGCUGGCGGCAGGCCUAACACAUGCAAGUCGAGCGGAAACGAGUUAUCUGAACCUUCGGGGAACGAUAACGGCGUCGAGCGGCGGACGGGUGAGUAAUGCCUGGGAAAUUGCCCUGAUGUGGGGGAUAACCAUUGGAAACGAUGGCUAAUACCGCAUAAUAGCUUCGGCUCAAAGAGGGGGACCUUCGGGCCUCUCGCGUCAGGAUAUGCCCAGGUGGGAUUAGCUAGUUGGUGAGGUAAUGGCUCACCAAGGCGACGAUCCCUAGCUGGUCUGAGAGGAUGAUCAGCCACACUGGAACUGAGACACGGUCCAGACUCCUACGGGAGGCAGCAGUGGGGAAUAUUGCACAAUGGGCGCAAGCCUGAUGCAGCCAUGCCGCGUGUAUGAAGAAGGCCUUCGGGUUGUAAAGUACUUUCAGCAGUGAGGAAGGUGGUAGUGUUAAUAGCACUAUCAUUUGACGUUAGCUGCAGAAGAAGCACCGGCUAACUCCGUGCCAGCAGCCGCGGUAAUACGGAGGGUGCGAGCGUUAAUCGGAAUUACUGGGCGUAAAGCGCAUGCAGGUGGUUUGUUAAGUCAGAUGUGAAAGCCCGGGGCUCAACCUCGGAAUUGCAUUUGAAACUGGCAGACUAGAGUACUGUAGAGGGGGGUAGAAUUUCAGGUGUAGCGGUGAAAUGCGUAGAGAUCUGAAGGAAUACCGGUGGCGAAGGCGGCCCCCUGGACAGAUACUGACACUCAGAUGCGAAAGCGUGGGGAGCAAACAGGAUUAGAUACCCUGGUAGUCCACGCCGUAAACGAUGUCUACUUGGAGGUUGUGGCCUUGAGCCGUGGCUUUCGGAGCUAACGCGUUAAGUAGACCGCCUGGGGAGUACGGUCGCAAGAUUAAAACUCAAAUGAAUUGACGGGGGCCCGCACAAGCGGUGGAGCAUGUGGUUUAAUUCGAUGCAACGCGAAGAACCUUACCUACUCUUGACAUCCUCAGAAGAGACUGGAGACAGUCUUGUGCCUUCGGGAACUGAGAGACAGGUGCUGCAUGGCUGUCGUCAGCUCGUGUUGUGAAAUGUUGGGUUAAGUCCCGCAACGAGCGCAACCCUUAUCCUUGUUUGCCAGCGAGUAAUGUCGGGAACUCCAGGGAGACUGCCGGUGAUAAACCGGAGGAA